rnacentral:rRNA from 1 species
UAGGGAAUCUUCCACAAUGGACGCAAGUCUGAUGGAGCAACGCCGCGUGAGUGAAGAAGGUUUUCGGACCGUAAAGCUCUGUUGUUGGUGAAGAAGGAUAGAGGUAGUAACUGGCCUUUAUUUGACGGUAAUCAACCAGAAAGUCACGGCUAACUACGUGCCAGCAGCCGCGGUAAUACGUAGGUGGCAAGCGUUGUCCGGAUUUAUUGGGCGUAAAGCGAGCGCAGGCGGAAGAAUGAGUCUGAUGUGAAAGCCCCUCGGCUUAACCGAGGAAUUGCAUCGGAAACUGUUUUCUUGAGUGCAGAAGAGGAGAGUAGAACUCCAUGUGUAGCGGUGGAAUGCGUAGAUAUAUGGAAGAAUACCAGUGGCGAAGGCGGCUCUCUGGUCUGCAACUGACGCUGAGGCUCGAAAGCAUGGGUAGCGAACAGGAUUAGAUACCCUGGUAGUCCAUGCCGUAA